UCAUCUCACUGGAUCAGUCUUUCCCCAUCCAAACAUGCAUCCAAGCCAAAAUCGACCAGUUGCCCUUUUAUCCAAACCUGAACAUUCAUAAAUUAUUUUCUAAAACAGAGACCUGAGCUUAAGAUGCAGUCAAAAUAGCUUGAAGCUAAAUGCACCCAAUUUAAAAUGCACUCCACCAGAACUGAAAUGAGAAGAUGGGGAACACACACACUAUAUUAUAUUAAGAAUCACUAAUAUUAAUUCUGACUCUGUUAGUGAACUGACUUUCAUAAAUAUUGUCGAGAAAAUGUGAUCGCAUAUUUUCCUCUUGUGAUAAUGUAAAUAUUGUAUUUCAUUGGUUAUUAACAGGCUACUGUAAUUGUUUUGAGAUUCAUACUUUGUGGUUUGUGUGUUAAAUUUUCUUGGAUGAACUCUACUUCCUGUGCCAAAAACCUAAUCCAGAAUUUUAACAACAAAACUGCCACCUGUAGCAGCUACACCACCUCUCCAUAGAUGACUUUACAUAACAGGACAAGGUUCAGUUCAUGGGGUUAACCCCUUAAAUGCAAGAAAAAUGUGUUUCCUCAAACUUUGUUCAUCAGCUUAAACAACAACAGAGAAAUGUGUUAUCCUCAUGAAUGAGUUGUAAUGAGAGAAUAAAAUGUUGUUCUUAAUGGCA